rnacentral:rRNA from 1 species
CUCCUACGGGAGGCAGCAGUAGGGAAUCUUCCGCAAUGGGCGCAAGCCUGACGGAGCAACGCCGCGUGAGUGAGGAAGGCCUUCGGGUUGUAAAACUCAGUCACCUGGGAAGAGAGGUAUGGGGAGUGGAAUGCCCCAUACGAGACGGUACCAGGGGAGGAAGCCCCGGCUAACUACGUGCCAGCAACCGCGGUAAUACGUAGGGGGCAAGCGUUGUCCGGAAUCACUGGGCGUAAAGCGUGCGUAGGCGGUCUUUCAAGUCCGGGGUGAAAACUCAAGGCUCAACCUUGAGAAUGCCUUGGAAACUGGGGGACUUGAGUACUGGAGAGGCAAGGGGUAUUCCACGUGUAGCGGUGAAAUGCGUAGAGAUGUGGAGGAAUACCAGUGGCGAAGGCGCCUUGCUGGACAGUGACUGACGCUGAGGCACGAAAGCGUGGGGAGCAAACAGGAUUAGAUACCCUGGUAGUCCACGCCGUAAACGAUGAGUGCUAGGUGUUGGGGGUUCAUCCCCUCAGUGCCGAAGGAAACCCAAUAAGCACUCCGCCUGGGGAGUACGGUCGCAAGACUGAAACUCAAAGGAAUUGACGGGGGCCCGCACAAGCAGUGGAGCAUGUGGUUUAAUUCGAAGCAACGCGAAGAACCUUACCAGGGCUUGACAUCCCUCUGACCGGUUCAGAGAUGGGCCUUCCCUUCGGGGCAGAGGAGACAGGUGGUGCAUGGUUGUCGUCAGCUCGUGUCGUGAGAUGUUGGGUUAAGUCCCGCAACGAGCGCAACCCUUGACCUGUGUUACCAGCACGUAAUGGUGGGGACUCACAGGUGACUGCCGGCGUAAGUCGGAGGAAGGUGGGGAUGACGUCAAAUCAUCAUGCCCUUUAUGUCCUGGGCUACACACGUGCUACAAUGGGCGGUACAACGGGAAGCGAGACCGCGAGGUGGAGCGAAACCCAAAAAGCCGUUCGUAGUUCGGAUUGCAGGCUGCAACCCGCCUGCAUGAAGCCGGAAUUGCUAGUAAUCGCGGAUCAGCAUGCCGCGGUGAAUCCGUUCCCGGGCCUUGCACACACCGCCCGU